rnacentral:lncRNA from 1 species
AGACACCGGGGUAGGUUUCCCUCAGUAUGUAGGGUUUCUCGAAUCCCUCUAGCUUCAGGAUGGUGCGCUCAUCUCCUGUCCUCCUAUCCAGGGCUUUGUGUUUUAUUUUCUCCUGGGUAGAGGAAGGACAGGGAAAGAGGAUAUGGGAGUUGAACUGCUUCUUAAAUAGACUUCCAGGCAGUCCUCCUGUUUUUAGCAGCAACCUCACCAUCACUUUUAAAAUUGUCUGAUCUUGUUGCCAAGUCCUAAGUCCUUUUGGGGGGGGGGACGUGGGAGUAGUGUGGUGUUAUCACCCUGGUAACUUCUUGGCCUUCUUUUGUUUGGCCUAACAAUUACCUUUCACUUGUCUGUCAAGUGGAUUGCCACACACACACACACACACACACAUAUACACACAUACAUAUAUAUAAGUGUGUAUGUAUGUAUGUAUGUAUAUGUGCAUUGCAUGUGUGUAUAUAUAUAUGUGUGUGUGUGUGCAUGCAUGAAUAUGAAUAUAUAUGUAUAUAUUCAUAUAUGUGUGUGUGUGUGUAUUUCUUUUUUGAGAAUUAUAUAUGCUAGAAAACGUGCUUUACCAUUGCUUAGCAGGGUUUCAGAAAUAAAGUAGAUGUUGACUCUACCAUUCUAAUUUGUGAGUUCCCUAAAUUUUUCAUUAUGUGUCAAAUUCCUAAAUUUUUUUGAAUUUUUAUUUAUUUUAUAUAUAUGAGUACACUGUAGUUGUCUUCAGACCAGAAGAAAGAGGGCACCAGAUCUCAUUAUAAAUGGUUGUGAGCCACCAUGUGGCUGCUGGGAUUUGAACUCAGGACCUCUGGAAGAGCAGAGAGGUGCUCUUCUGAACCAUCUCUAUAACCCCCUAAUUUUUUUUUUUUUUUUUAUGAGCAUACUGUAGCUGCCUUCGACCAGAAGGCAUUGGAUCCCUUUACAGAUGGUUGUGAGUCACCAUGUGGUUGCUAGGAAUUGAACUCUCUCUGGAAGAGUAGUCAGUGCUCUUAACCGCUGAGCCAUCUUUCCAGCCCCGCCUACAGGUUAUUUUUAAAGAUGAAAAGAGAGAGCUGACUUGUGAGGAUCAUUCCGACCACCACAUGUGCUAUGGUACAGAUAGAUGGUCAUAUGCAUGUACUAUGUCUGUACACACAUGCAGCAAUAAGAAAUUAAAAAUAAACAAUAAAACAUGUCAAUUUAAAGCAAAGCAUGGCAGCACAUGUCUGUAAAUAUAGCACUGGAUGGUAGAGGCAGGACGGCAGGUAUUCAGAGUCAGCCUGGGCUACAUGAGAUCCUAUUUUAACACUCACCCUAUUCCCAUCCCUCAAAAAAAAU